GCGGCCAUGGCGGAAUUGGUAGACGCGCAGCGUUGAGGUCGCUGUGGGAGUUAAAUCCCGUGGAAGUUCGAGUCUUCUUGGCCGCACCA
rnacentral:tRNA from 2 species